UCUAGCUCCCAGAAUUUUUCUUCUAAGCCACUUAAGCAUCAGUUUCAGACAUGAUGCCCCUUUACUCCAGAUACUUCAGCGUGCUCAACCUGAAAAAUAAAACCAAGGCGUUCCCCUACAUAACCAUAAUGUAAAUAUGAAAAUCAGAGAAAUAAUGUUAAUAUAGUACUGUCCUCUAACCUAGAUCUGGAUGUUGGAUGUUGCCAAUUGUUCCUUUAAUGUGGUACAGUAACUCAGUGUUUCUUUGCAUUUCCUGACACUGAUAGUUUUGAAAAGUCCAUUAUUUUGUAGAAUGUCCCCCAAUUUGUUUUUGAUAGUUUUCUCAUGUUUAUAUUCAAGUUAUGUAGUUUUGAUGGGAAUACCACAGAAGUUAUAUGCUGUUUUUCCUCAAUGACUCAUGUCUCACUUUUUUUUUGUUUAGAUGAAAGUCCUUCAAUCUCUUACUCCCACUCCCCUCCUAAGAUGUGAAUAACCACCGUUACCAAUUGGCAUUCGUGCAGUAUUUUGCCUAUGUAUCUAUGUACACAGAUAUCCACAUAUAGACACACAUGUACCCUUUAAAAACAUAAAAAUGGGUUGGGUUCAGUGCCUUCUGCCUGUAAUCCCAGUAGUUUGGGUGGCCGAGGUGGGUGGAUCACUUGAGGCUGGUCUGCACCUACUGGGCUCAAGUGAUCCUCCCACCUCAGCCUCCCAAAUAGCUGGGACUACUGAUGCACAUCACCAUUCCCAGCUAAUUUUUGUAUUUUUUUUCAGAUGGGGUUUCGCCAUGUUACCCAGGCUGGUCUGGAACUUCUGGGCUCAAGCAGUCUGCCUUCCUUAGCCUACCAAAGUGCUAGUAUUAUAGGUGUGAGCCACUGUGCCAGGCCAAAAGUGGCAUUUUUUAAAAAAAAUAGUAUAAGUAUGUCCUUGUUUAGAUCGUUCCCUACUAAUGAAUAUUUGUUUCCAUUUUUUUCUAUCACAAUGUUUGUACUUAAAUUUAAGAACAUACCUCAUUUAUAAUUGUGAUAGAUGCUACCAAAUAGCUCUCCUAACACACUUUUCCAGUUUGUAUUCUCAUCUACUGUGCAUGAGAUAAUUUGCGUUUUUCUGACUGUUGGUGAUGUGGAGCACCUAUUCAUGGCCUUUGGGUUUCCUGUUCUGUGAAUUGCCUGUUAGUGGUCUUUGCUGUGAGAAUGCUGAAUUGGUCGGUCUUUUUCUGACUACUUAUUUCUCCAGGCCUCACUCAACUCUGUUCCUCUGCAGAGGCUUCUCCAUUUCCCCUAAUCAGCCACCACCCCCUCUGCUGUCCCAUAACACUGUUCACACCGUGCCCAGGCCUUCAUUUACCAACCAUUCCAUACAGAAUCUACUCAUUCCAAAAGUGUCCACUGUGAGCCCUCUCUGUGCUUGGCCUUGGGCUAGGUGCUGGGUGGAAAGACACGAGCCACUCAUCAUAGACUCCAUGCUAAAGUUCAGUUUUGAAACGCAGCUUUGAGCAUAGAAAACAGCAUGAGUUUUAGAUCUAGACAUAACUUGAGUUGAAUUCCAGCUUCACCACUUCCCAGCUGUGUAACUCAGAGCAAGUCACUUGAUCACUCCAAGUCUCCAUUUCCAUACUAGUGAGGUGGGGCUAAUUCCUCCCUUAGAGAGUCACUUGAAGCUGGACAAGAGACAAUAUAUCUGAAGUGGUUAGCCAGGGCCCAUUUACACAGUAGGCUUGCAGUGAAUGAAUGGUAGUUGAAAGGCAACUGUUAAGAGGUCAAAAUCAGUUAGUUCUCAGAGGUUCUAGGAGCCAUUAAUAAACUGGAAAAUAAAAAGGAAGGAGGCAGCUCCUCUGUUUGCAAUGCAAAGGAUAUGGAUGAGUGCCGCUUGCCCAGAUCCUGCUACAGAACAUCCUUUAUCUUUCCUGGUCUCUGCAGCAGAUUUCUGCUUUGUCCUGGCCCCUGUCCCAAUUCAGCUGUGCACUGUUGAUGUACUACUGCCACUGCUGUGGGAAGAACAGGUGCUUUCCUUCUCAAAUAAAUGUUGGUCUAGGCCGGGCACGGUGGCUCACGCCUGUAAUCCCAGCACUUUGGGAGGCCAAGGCAGGAAGAUCACGAGGUCAGGAGAUCAAGACCAUCCUGGCUAACGCGGUGAAACCCCAUCUCUACUAAAAAUACAAAAAAAUAACCCGGGCAUUUAUGGUGCGUGCCUGUAGUCCCAGCUACUCGGGCGGCUGAGGCAGGAGAAUGGCGUGAACCUGGGAGGCGGAGCUUGAAGUAAGCCGAGAUCCUGCCACUGCACUCCAGCCUGGGCGACAGAGCGAGACUCCGUCUCAAAAAAAAAAAAAAAAAAAA
rnacentral:lncRNA from 1 species